rnacentral:rRNA from 1 species
GGAGUGAAACAGAACCUGAAACCGUGUACGUACAAGCAGUGGGAGCCCCACCACUAAGCCAGUGGUGAACUCCACAUACGCAUCCUUUGCGGAAGAUGCGGUUAACGGAGCGAAAGCGACGUUCAACCUCAGAAGAAGCAGAGGGGGCUUAGUGGUGGGGUGACUGCGUACCUUUUGUAUAAUGGGUCAGCGACUUAUAUUCUGUAGCAAGGUUAACCGCAUAGGGGAGCCGAAGGGAAACCGAGUCUUAAUUGGGCGUUAAGUUGCAGGGUAUAGACCCGAAACCCGGUGAUCUAGCCAUGGGCAGGUUGAAGGUUGGGUAACACUAACUGGAGGACCGAACCGACUAAUGUUGAAAAAUUAGCGGAUGACCUGUGGCUGGGGGUGAAAGGCCAAUCAAACCGGGAGAUAGCUGGUUCUCCCCGAAAGCUAUUUAGGUAGCGCCUCGUGAACUCAUCUCCGGGGGUAGAGCACUGUUUCGGCUAGGGGGCCAUCCCGGCUUACCAACCCGAUGCAAACUGCGAAUACCGGAGAAUGUUAUCACGGGAGACACACGGCGGGUGCUAACGUCCGUCGUGAAGAGGGAAACAACCCAGACCGCCAGCUAAGGUCCCAAAGUCAUGGUUAAGUGGGAAACGAUGUGGGAAGGCCCAGACAGCCAGGAUGUUGGCUUAGAAGCAGCCAUCAUUUAAAGAAAGCGUAAUAGCUCACUGGUCGAGUCGGCCUGCGCGGAAGAUGUAACGGGGCUAAACCAUGCACCGAAGCUGCGGCAGCGACACUGUGUGUUGUUGGGUAGGGGAGCGUUCUGUAAGCCGUUGAAGGUAUCCUGUGAGGGGUGCUGGAGGUAUCAGAAGUGCGAAUGCUGACAUAAGUAACGAUAAAGCGGGUGAAAAGCCCGCUCGCCGGAAGACCAAGGGUUCCUGUCCAACGUUAAUCGGGGCAGGGUGAGUCGACCCCUAAGGCGAGGCCGAAAGGCGUAGUCGAUGGGAAACGGGUUAAUAUUCCCGUACUUGGUGUUACUGCGAAGGGGGGACGGAGAAGGCUAUGUUGGCCGGGCGACGGUUGUCCCGGUUUAAGCGUGUAGGUGUGUGUUCCAGGUAAAUCCGGUUCACUUUAACACUGAGGCGUGAUGACGAGGCACCACGGUGCUGAAGCAACAAAUGCCCUGCUUCCAGGAAAAGCCUCUAAGCAUCAGGUAACAUCAAAUCGUACCCCAAACCGACACAGGUGGUCAGGUAGAGAAUACCAAGGCGCUUGAGAGAACUCGGGUGAAGGAACUAGGCAAAAUGGUGCCGUAACUUCGGGAGAAGGCACGCUGACACGUAGGUGAAGUGAUUUACUCAUGGAGCUGAAGUCAGUCGAAGAUACCAGCUGGCUGCAACUGUUUAUUAAAAACACAGCACUGUGCAAACACGAAAGUGGACGUAUACGGUGUGACGCCUGCCCGGUGCCGGAAGGUUAAUUGAUGGGGUCAGCGCAAGCGAAGCUCCUGAUCGAAGCCCCGGUAAACGGCGGCCGUAACUAUAACGGUCCUAAGGUAGCGAAAUUCCUUGUCGGGUAAGUUCCGACCUGCACGAAUGGCGUAAUGAUGGCCAGGCUGUCUCCACCCGAGACUCAGUGAAAUUGAACUCGCUGUGAAGAUGCAGUGUACCCGCGGCAAGACGGAAAGACCCCGUGAACCUUUACUAUAGCUUGACACUGAACAUUGAGCCUUGAUGUGUAGGAUAGGUGGGAGGCUUUGAAGCGUGGACGCCAGUCUGCGUGGAGCCGACCUUGAAAUACCACCCUUUAAUGUUUGAUGUUCUAACGUGGACCCGUAAUCCGGGUUGCGGACAGUGUCUGGUGGGUAGUUUGACUGGGGCGGUCUCCUCCUAAAGAGUAACGGAGGAGCACGAAGGUUGGCUAAUCCUGGUCGGACAUCAGGAGGUUAGUGCAAUGGCAUAAGCCAGCUUGACUGCGAGCGUGACGGCGCGAGCAGGUGCGAAAGCAGGUCAUAGUGAUCCGGUGGUUCUGAAUGGAAGGGCCAUCGCUCAACGGAUAAAAGGUACUCCGGGGAUAACAGGCUGAUACCGCCCAAGAGUUCAUAUCGACGGCGGUGUUUGGCACCUCGAUGUCGGCUCAUCACAUCCUGGGGCUGAAGUAGGUCCCAAGGGUAUGGCUGUUCGCCAUUUAAAGUGGUACGCGAGCUGGGUUUAGAACGUCGUGAGACAGUUCGGUCCCUAUCUGCCGUGGGCGCUGGAAGACUGAGGGGGGCUGCUCCUAGUACGAGAGGACCGGAGUGGACGCAUCACUGGUGUUCGGGUUGUCAUGCCAAUGGCACUGCCCGGUAGCUAAAUGCGGAAAAGAUAAGUGCUGAAAGCAUCUAAGCACGAAACUUGCCCCGAGAUGAGUCUUCCCUGAGACUUUGAGUCUCCUGAAGGAACGUUAAAGACGAUGACGUUGAUAGGCCGGGUGUGUAAGCGCAGCGAUGCGUUGAGCUAACCGGUACUAAUGAACCGUGAGGCUUAACCUUACAACGCCGAAGCUGUU